rnacentral:rRNA from 1 species
CCUACGGGUGGCAGCAGUGGGGAAUAUUGCGCAAUGGGCGAAAGCCUGACGCAGCGACGCCGCGUGCGGGAUGAAGGUCUUCGGAUCGUAAACCUCUGUCAGCAGGGAGGAACGGUCACUGUGCUAAUCAGCAGUGAAUUGACGGUACCUGCAAAGGACGCACAGGCUCACUCCGUGCCAGCAGCCGCGGUAAUACGGAGGGUGCGAGCGUUAAUCGGAAUUACUGGGCGUAAAGCGCUCGUAGGCGGUAUGUCAAGUCAAGGGUGAAAUCCCCGCGCUCAACGUGGGAACUGCCUGUGAAACUGGCAAACUUGAGUGUGUGAGAGGAUAGUGGAAUUCCAGGUGUAGGAGUGAAAUCCGUAGAUAUCUGGAGGAACAUCAGUGGCGAAGGCGACUAUCUGGCACAUAACUGACGCUGAGGAGCGAAAGCGUGGGUAGCAAACAGGAUUAGAUACCCCAGUAGUC